rnacentral:rRNA from 1 species
GACGAACGCUGGCGGCGUGCUUAACACAUGCCAGUCGAACGAUGAAGCCUAGCUUGCUAGGUGGAUUAGUGGCGAACGGGUGAGUAAUACGUGAGUAACCUACCUUUAACUCUGGGAUAAGCCUGGGAAACUGGGUCUAAUACCGGAUACGACCAAUCUCCGCAUGGGGUGUUGGUGGAAAGCGUUAUGUAGUGGUUAUAGAUGGGCUCACGGCCUAUCAGCUUGUUGGUGAGGUAACGGCUCACCAAGGCGACGACGGGUAGCCGGCCUGAGAGGGUGACCGGCCACACUGGGCCUGAGACAGGGCCCAGACUCCUACGGUAGGCAGCAGUGGGGAAUAUUGCACAAUGGGCGCAAGCCUGAUGCAGCGACGCCGCGUGAGGGAUGACGGCCUUCGGGUUGUAAACCUCUGUUAGCAGGGAAGAAGAGAAAUUGACGGUACCUGCAGAGAAAGCGCCGGCUAACUACGUG